rnacentral:lncRNA from 1 species
AUUUGUACAAUAAGAACUUCAAGACACUGAAGAAAGAAAUUGAAGAAGACCUCAGAAGAUGGAAAGAUCUCCCAUGCUCAUGGAUUAGCAGGAUUAAUAUAGUAAAAAUGGCCAUUUUACCAAAACCGAUCUACAGAUUCAAUGCAAUCCCCAUCAAAAUACCAAUCCAAUUCUUCAAAGAGUUAGACAGAACAAUUUGCAAAUUCAUCUGGAAUAACAAAAAACCCAGGAUAGCUAAAACUAUCCUCAACAAUAAAA